CAUAAUGGAAGGUCACUAGGGCACACCUUUUGUCAAGUCUUUUUCAUGUGCCUUUCCACGAUUCCUGGCUAUCAGGAGCUUGUCUCUACUACACACUCCCACCAUGAAAUUUCAUGCUUCACCACAGAAGAAAAGCCAAUGAAACCAAACAACCAUGGACUAAAACCUCUAAAAAACAUAAGCCAAAAUGUUUACUCAGAGAAGUGGAUUGGGUAUUUUUUUAUCACUGUGACAGGAAGUUGACUAACAGAUCAGGCCAACAGAAAUGCUGAUGAAGGAGGUUUGGUGCCAGCAGUGGUCACAGACACACUUUCUGUAGCACCCUGCCCUGUCAUGCCCCAGAGCACUGCUGAAGCUUGGCUCUCCCAGAAUUCCUCUGGGUCUGCAACUUUUUUAGCUUUGGAACCACUCAUGCCCGUGGAGGAACCUGCAAUGUCCAGUGACCUAUGUGAAAAAAGAAAAGACAAACCAACAAAAGUUAUUUAGCUG
rnacentral:lncRNA from 1 species